rnacentral:misc_RNA from 1 species
UGGUUCUGGCAUCGAUGAAGAACGCAGCGAAAUGCGAUAAGUAAUGUGAAUUGCAGAAUUCAGUGAAUCAUCGAAUCUUUGAACGCACAUUGCGCCCUCUGGUAUUCCGGAGGGCAUGCCUGUUCGAGCGUCAUUUCAACCCUCAAGCCUUGCUUGGUGUUGGGGCACUGCUUUUACCCACAGAGCAGGCCCUGAAAUACAGUGGCGAGCUCGCCAGGACUCCGAGCGCAGUAGUUAAACCCUCGCUCUGGAAGGCCUGGCGGUGCCCUGCCGUUAAACCCCCAACUUCUGAAAAUUUGACCUCGGAUCAGGUAGGAAUACCCGCUGA